AUCCAGCUGAAGAAUCCUAAGUAAGACGAAACACGCGUCAAAAUGGAU
rnacentral:hammerhead_ribozyme from 1 species